AAGAAGCACAAAAUGGUGGACUAAUGGUAAGAACUCUGAGAAACCAUAGAAGAAAGACUAAUGAAAGAAAGCAACGUGGAGAGCAGAUUCUAUGGUAACAAAGAUGACAGAUUAAGACCGACACAAGAAGGGGAUGAUUAGGAACAAGGCAGCUGCUUUCCAGAAGUCCUGACGGUUGAAUUGUCUUCCCCAAGAUUCAGAUGUUGAAGUCCCAACUCAGAGUGGAUAUUUGAAGACAGGGUCUUUAAAGAGGCGAUUAAGUUAAUAUGAGGUCACACAGUGAAGGACGGAGGAGCCUGGCAUGCUACAGUCCAUGGGGAGUCGGGCACGAUUUGGAAACUGAACAGCAACAGAUGAGUCUCAGUCUCACACACACUGGAGGAUGCACUGCUUUAGCCCAGUGGGUCUCAACCCUAGCUGCUUCAUAGAAUCACCUGGGAGCUUUUCAAAGGCCUGGGGCAGGGCCUCUUAUCCAUUCUUCUUAAGAACACUCAGGAUAAUACUGGUAUGUACUUUGGAUGGAGAGCUGCUCUGAGGACCUCUGAUUAUGGCCCUCUGGUACCUAGUUGGUAUGUCACCCCGGGUGAGAUUCUCAGCAUCCCUCACGUCACCUCUUGUGGGUCAGUGUUUCUCACAUCUUGCUGUGCAUUUAGUCACCUGUGUGUGGGGGUGAGUUUAAACUUUCAAUACCCAACUGCCCACCAAGAUCGAUUAAAUCAGAAGCUAACUGAGAGAGGAAGGGAGUGGAGAAGCUGAAACUGAUUGUUUUAAAGUCUUCUUUAAAAAAAAAAAUUUAUUUUUGGCUGUGCUGGGCUGUGUGUGGGUUUUCUCUAGUUGUGGACGGUGGGGGCUCCUCUCUAGUUGCGGUGUGAAAGCUUCUCAUUGCAGUGACUUCUCUCGUUGUUAAGGCCCCUGGAACUCGUGUGGACAGGAAGCCCAGCAGUACUGAUGCACUUAGAGCUGAAGCAGUCAUAAACCUCUGGUUGGUAUGUGGAAGGACAGAAUUUUUUGCAGCCUCAGCUCUGAGAGUCAGGAUUGAGCACACCUGCCAGGUUCAGUAAACCUGUGUUUCUGCCUUUAAAAAUGGCUGCAUGAGCCCUUCUUGUCAGAUGCUCUCCCUGGGCCAUCAUUUCAUUAUUUAUUCAGUAUUUUCAUAACUGAGCCAUCAGCCCAACUGUAAAAGUGCCAAGGAGAAAACUUUGUUUUUAAUGAUUAUGCAUCUCUUUGGCUUUGUUACCAUAAUUUCUGGGGGAGCAACAAUUACCUUGUGUCUGGCUGAUCUGCCUUUGAGUGCAGCGUCCUUCCAGUUGGUUUAAAAAGACCAUCAUUCUCUGGGACCGUUGCCUACUGCAUGCUAAUGUGUGGCCUCCAGCUGGGACUUGGGAAUCUCAGGCAGGAUGUCCGGUUUAGGAAUUGCUUCAUCUAUGCAUGUGUGUAUUUGGUGAAUCUUUGAGGAUCUUCUGUGUGCCCGGCCCUGUGCUGGGAGCUGGAGAUGGUGUGGCAAGUUGCCUCUUGGGAAAUAUGUUCAAAAGCUAAAGAACUGAGAAAUAAGUGAUUAAUCCUGGGGGGUGUGUGUGUCAGCCUGGACAGCCUUCUCUAAGGAGGUGACAUUUGCCCUGGUUUCUUUUUUUGAAUUUUAUUUUUGGCAGCAAUGGGUCUUUGUUGCUGCACAUAGGCUUUCUCUAGUUGCGGUGAGUGGGGGCUACUCUUCAUUGUCACAUGUAG